CUUUCAUUUUUCUGGAGCACGUGUAAAAAAGGAGUAAAGUGCAGGACUUGGGUAAGGGAGAAACCAAGAAGAAUGCAAAAGAUUGACCAUCACUGUGAGCUUCAUAUAGUGAGCUCAGGAGUGAAAAGCAGCCCCUAGAAGUGGUGACCCCGACGUGAUUCAGGAAUCCGCGUGUCCAGUGACCAUUUUCGUUGUCCGGACUACAAGGAGAAUCAUCCCGCUGCUGCCGAUGGGGGUCCUGCUGUGACAGACACAUAACACCACGAUGGUGUCCAGGAUCAUGUGGGGUCAACUGAAACAACUGAAACAACUAGAGACACAGGCCACAGACAAGGAGGACAGAUCUGCCAAUUGAUGACCUCCCAGCGCCAUUAUGAAAAAACACUGGCUGAAGCUUACAUCUCUUUCUCCUACUCACUCUGUCUCUAAUUUUAAAUGAAAAAGGAGACAUGUGGGGGCUGGGCCUAGAAGAAAGAAUGGAUGGAUGGAAAGAAUGUGAGCAGGAUGAAUGAAGGGUCAGGUGAAAACGCCUCCCCAAAGCUGCUUCUUUGCUGUGUGCAAAGGUCAGCUGAAAACAGCUGACCUGUACAGAAUUUGUUAAAGAAAUUAGCAAAUGGCCCUGACCCUUUGCAUGUGUCUUUGGAAAUAAAUAUGGGGAGGAACUUAGCUGAGGAGGCCAUUUUUUCCUUCAGACUUUGGCCUCUCCCCUUCUCUCUAAAUACUAUGUGUUUUCAGUAAUUAUUCAUUCCUUUGCUACC